AGAGUUUGAUCCUGGCUCAGGAUGAACGCUAGCUACAGGCUUAACACAUGCAAGUCGAGGGGCAGCGGGCAGAAAGCUUGCUUUCUGUGCCGGCGACCGGCGCACGGGUGCGUAACGCGUAUCGAACCUACCACAUACUCAGGGAUAGCCUUGCGAAAGUAAGAUUAAUACCUGAUGUUAUUAAACAAUCGCAUGAUAGUUUAAUCAAAGAUUUAUUGGUAUGUGAUGGCGAUGCGUCUGAUUAGGUAGUAGGCGGGGUAACGGCCCACCUAGCCAUCGAUCAGUAGGGGUUCUGAGAGGAAGGUCCCCCACAUUGGAACUGAGACACGGUCCAAACUCCUACGGGAGGCAGCAGUGAGGAAUAUUGGUCAAUGGACGCAAGUCUGAACCAGCCAAGUAGCGUGCAGGAUGACGGCCCUCCGGGUUGUAAACUGCUUUAGUUCGGGAAUAACGACGGGGACGUGUCCCCGGAAAGAAUGUACCGAAAGAAUAAGGACCGGCUAAUUCCGUGCCAGCAGCCGCGGUAAUACGGAAGGUCCAGGCGUUAUCCGGAUUUAUUGGGUUUAAAGGGAGCGUAGGCGGACUGUUAAGUCAGCGGUUAAAGAGUGUGGCUCAACCAUACGAUGCCGUUGAAACUGGUGGUCUUGAGUGCACACAGGGAUGCUGGAACUCGUGGUGUAGCGGUGAAAUGCUUAGAUAUCACGAUGAACUCCGAUCGCGAAGGCAGGUGUCCGGGGUGUAACUGACGCUGAGGCUCGAAAGUGUGGGUAUCAAACAGGAUUAGAUACCCUGGUAGUCCACACAGUAAACGAUGAAUACUCGCAGUUUGCGAUACAGUGUAAGCUGCCAAGCGAAAGCAUUAAGUAUUCCACCUGGGGAGUACGCCGGCAACGGUGAAACUCAAAGGAAUUGACGGGGGCCCG
rnacentral:rRNA from 1 species